rnacentral:rRNA from 2 species
GCCGCGGCCCUAUCAGCUUGUUGGUGGGGUAACGGCCCACCAAGGCGACGACGGGUAGCCGGCCUGAGAGGGCGACCGGCCACACUGGGACUGAGACACGGCCCAGACUCCUACGGGAGGCAGCAGUGGGGAAUAUUGCACAAUGGGCGAAAGCCUGAUGCAGCGACGCCGCGUGAGGGAUGACGGCCUUCGGGUUGUAAACCUCUUUCAGCAGGGAAGAAGCGAAAGUGACGGUACCUGCAGAAGAAGCGCCGGCUAACUACGUGCCAGCAGCCGCGGUAAUACGUAGGGCGCAAGCGUUGUCCGGAAUUAUUGGGCGUAAAGAGCUCGUAGGCGGCUUGUCACGUCGGAUGUGAAAGCCCGAGGCUUAACCUCGGGUCUGCAUUCGAUACGGGCUAGCUAGAGUGUGGUAGGGGAGAUCGGAAUUCCUGGUGUAGCGGUGAAAUGCGCAGAUAUCAGGAGGAACACCGGUGGCGAAGGCGGAUCUCUGGGCCAUUACUGACGCUGAGGAGCGAAAGCGUGGGGAGCGAACAGGAUUAGAUACCCUGGUAGUCCACGCCGUAAACGUUGGGAACUAGGUGUUGGCGACAUCCACGUCGUCGUGCAGAGCAGAUGAGCUCAUUCCU